CCUAAUACAUGCAAGUCGAGCGAGCAGAACCAGCAGAUUUUACUUCGGUAAUGACGCUGGGGACGCGAGCGGCGGAUGGGUGAGUAACACGUGGGGAACCUGCCCUAUAGUCUGGGAUACCACUUGGAAACAGGUGCUAAUACCGGAUAAGAAAGCAGAUCGCAUGAUCAGCUUAUAAAAGGCGGCGUAAGCUGUCGCUAUGGGAUGGCCCCGCGGUGCAUUAGCUAGUUGGUAAGGUAACGGCUUACCAAGGCAAUGAUGCAUAGCCGAGUUGAGAGACUGAUCGGCCACAUUGGGACUGAGACACGGCCCAAACUCCUACGGGAGGCAGCAGUAGGGAAUCUUCCACAAUGGACGCAAGUCUGAUGGAGCAACGCCGCGUGAGUGAAGAAGGUUUUCGGAUCGUAAAGCUCUGUUGUUGGUGAAGAAGGAUAGAGGUAGUAACUGGCCUUUAUUUGACGGUAAUCAACCAGAAAGUCACGGCUAACUACGUGCC
rnacentral:rRNA from 1 species